ACCACGGGGUUAGUCGGGGACCUUGGUUAAUUUUCCACGUUUUUCUUCGCCAUCCCCUGGGAUACUGAUUGUAUAACGUGUGCUAUAUUUGUCCUGGCGACAGUGAAUGUUCCUGUUUAUGUAUUUUCUUGUUUGCAUUUUAAACAUUGUAGUUUAAAACUGAAGAAAACCAAGGACCACGUGUUGAUGCAUAAAAGUAUAGUGUCUAAAAGUCGUGUUUUCUUCGAAGCCACCCCAUGUGAAAUCUCCAGGCACCCUGAAUUAUAAAUACAGGAGGAUUCCACGUAACAUAAAUUGUUUUAGUUCAUCUUAAUUUGUCAAUUUGAAUAUGUAAAGUUAGUAAUAAUUUUAGGCGACGAUGACAAAUAUAUAUCUGUUAAACUAGAGGUUUUAAAAAAGAAUUUCUAGAAGCGAUGCCAUAAUGCUGUGUUCUUGAAAUUUAUGCAAGCUACGAAUUGAAGUAGUGGACAAUGAAACAAUGGUAGCUACCAGAAUGUUGGUUUAGUUCUCUCAGGACAAAUGGCCGGAACAGAAGCGUGCCUCAACGAAGCACACCCCUAGCACACCCACACACCAAAUCUCAAUCGAAACGGGCCACAAACAACGACGCUAUCCGCAACUCGGUGCCAAAAGGGCCGUGGCUGAAACCGACGCGCGCCUCAACGAGCCGCUCGCAAAUGACGCCUGUAACCAAAGUUGCAACCGAAUCCGCCGAACAACAACAAAGAUAGGUACCGGACGACGCCAAAAGGGCCUUACCCAAUACGGGUGUGCGCCUCAGUUGCGACAUACCCCACUCACUCCAAAUUCACCCACACGAGUCGAAAAGGCCUUCAACGGCAGGAUUCUAUCGAUCCUGCAAUAGAUACGGCACAGCCGCCGAAAGACUUGAACAAUAUGCACAAAUGCCUCGGCAAGCUCGGUAGCGCAGUGGUCAAGCGACCAGUCGCCGGAAAUUUGAAAAUCUGUAAUAUCGAAUGUGUUGUUAAAUUUUUUUAAGCAUUAUGACAAUAAACAUUAUUAUUAUUA